rnacentral:tRNA from 1 species
GGAGCUGUGGCUCAGUGGUAGAGCGCUCGCCUAGCACGUGCAAGGUACUGGGUUCGACCCUCAGCUCCA